rnacentral:rRNA from 1 species
CCUACGGGUGGCAGCAGUGGGGAAUUUUGCGCAAUGCUCGUAAGAGUGACGCAGCGACGCCGCGUGAAUGACGAAGGCCUUCGGGUCGUAAAGUUCUUUCGACAGGGAAGAAAAUGCCUAUAAGUAACUGUGUAUGUAUUGACGGUACCUGUAUAAGCAGCCCCGGCUAACUCCGUGCCAGCAGCCGCGGUAAUACGGAGGGGGCGAGCGUUGUUCGGAGUGACUGGGAGUAAAGAGCACGUAGGCGGUGUUGUAAGUCAUUAGGCAAAGACUAGAGCUCAACUUUAGUAAGGCUAGUGAUACUAUAAUACGAGAGUAUCAGAGAGGAUUGCAGAAUUCCUGGUGGAGCGGGGAAAUGCGUAGAUAGCAGGAGGAAUACCGUUAGCGAAGGCGGCAAUCUGGCUGGAAACUGACGCUGAGGUGCGAAAGCGUGGGUAGCAAACAGGAUUAGAUACCCCAGUAGUC